CGGUACACUCUUCAAGGUGCUGCAUGGUUGUCGUCAGCUCGUGCCGUGAGGUGUCGGGUUAAGUCCCAUAACGAGCGCAACCCUUACCGUUAGUUACCAUCAGGUUAAGCUGGGGACGUCUAGCGGGACUGCCACCGUAAGGUGAGAGGAAGGUGGGGAUGACGUCAAAUCAGCACGGCCCUUAUGUCCAGGGCUACACACGUGUUACAAUGGCCGGUACAAAGGGCAGCUACUUCGCGAGAAGAUGCUAAUCUCGAAAGCCGGUCUCAGUUCGGAUCGAAGUCUGCAACCCGACUUCGUGAAGCUGGAUUCGCUAGUAAUCGCGCAUCAGCCAUGGCGCGGUGAAUACGUUCCCGGGCCUU
rnacentral:rRNA from 1 species